AGUGGCAGACGGGUGAGUAACGCGUGGGAAUCUACCCAGUACUACGGAACAACAGUUAGAAAUGACUGCUAAUACCGUAUACGCCCUCCGGGGGAAAGAUUUAUCGGUAUUGGAUGAGCCCGCGUUUGAUUAGCUAGUUGGUGAGGUAACGGCUCACCAAGGCGACGAUCAAUAGCUGGUCUGAGAGGACGAUCAGCCACACUGGGACUGAGACACGGCCCAGACUCCUACGGGAGGCAGCAGUGGGGAAUAUUGGACAAUGGGCGCAAGCCUGAUCCAGCCAUGCCGCGUGUGUGAUGAAGGCCCUAGGGUUGUAAAGCACUUUCAACGGUGAAGAUAAUGACGGUAACCGUAAAAGAAGCUCCGGCUAACUUCGUGCCAGCAGCCGCGGUAAUACGAAGGGAGCUAGCGU
rnacentral:rRNA from 1 species